rnacentral:rRNA from 1 species
AUGAAAAGAUGUCCAGGAGCUGCGCCAUGGACCUCUCCUUCGACUAGUGCUCCCGGUUUAAGCGGGGAAGCACUGCAUCGUCGGGAUCGACGCUUCUUCUUCGCCUACGGCCGCUGCUACUCCGCGCCCGAUCUACCUCACCGGAACUCCUCCACCAUGCCGGUCGCGUCCUCUGCCUCCCCUUACCUCGAGACCGGCGCUGAUGCCACUGAGUACGACUACAUCACCGAUGACCCCUCCUUCUUGCCAGAGCAACCAGAUGUUGAAGCCCAGGAGCCAGACUCCACCGUCGACGACGACUCAUACUACACUGGAGGUGCGUACUACUACGUGCAGGCCGCCGCCGACGACCAGGAGUAG